UACGUAGGGUGCGAGCGUUGUCCGGAAUUACUGGGCGUAAAGAGCUCGUAGGUGGUUUGUCGCGUUGUCCGUGAAAACUCACAACUCAAUUGUGGGCGUGCGGGCGAUACGGGCAGACUGGAGUACUGCAGGGGAGACUGGAAUUCCUGGUGUAGCGGUGGAAUGCGCAGAUAUCAGGAGGAACACCGGUGGCGAAGGCGGCUUUCUGGGCCUUACCUGACGCUGAGGAGCGAAAGCUGGGGGAGCAAACAGG
rnacentral:rRNA from 1 species